rnacentral:lncRNA from 1 species
CAUUUCGUGUGGCGAAGACUGGCUUCACCGCCGGACAGACAUCUUUGGAGUUUUAUGAAGGAGUCAACAACAUUGUGACUUGACUACAUUAGUUUUCAAACUCCAAUCAGUGGCACUCUUCAGUGAGGACGAGGAGAUGGCGAUAAUUGACAGCAUUGAAAUGACCAAGUCUCCCACUCCCAUGCUGGUGACAAAUAACACCUUCCAAGAUGUC